UACAGAGGGUGCAAGCGUUAAUCGGAAUUACUGGGCGUAAAGCGUGCGUAGACGGUUACGUAAGUCAGAUGUGAAAGCCCCGGGCUCAACCUGGGAAUUGCAUUUGAGACUGCGUAGCCUAGGGUGCGGAAGAGGGAAGCGGAAUUUCCGGGUGUAGCGGUGAAAUGCGUAGAUAUCGGAAGGAACACCAGUGGCGAAAGCGGCUUCCUGGUCCAGCACCGACGUCAGGCACGAAAGCGUGGGGAGCAAACAGG
rnacentral:rRNA from 1 species